CUCUGCUCUGGUUCUACAGGCAAGAACCAUUCACUCUGGGAACAACAAGAAAGAGAGCCGAAAUCUUUGGGACCACACUGGGGAAUGAGCAGUGAGCAAAGCACUAUUCAACAACACGGUUUUGCUUUUUACAAUAUCCCUAGGGUUUUUAAAUUUUGGUAAGAGGACCAAGAUUUGGGUUCAAUUAAUGUGGAAGAGAGUGCCAUGGACUGAUGGGAGAACAAGUUUAAGGAGUAGGGGGCAUUAAAAGUGUGUUUUCUGACAUGUUAAGGUCACAGCACAUGAACAGGUGUUUCCUCUGAGAGCAGGUUUGGAGUAGGCUGAUGAUUACUAGGUGAGAUGACAAGAGAAGUGGAGAAGAGGGAACACGAGCUUGAAGGCAUGCCAACAUCCAGAGACCUAAUGAGGAUGAACUGGCUAAGGAGAUUGAAAAGGGCCAGUGAUAAGCAAGGGCACACCAAAAGCUACUCCAAUUAGUGUAAAGAGAUUCAGAGGCAGAUCAUUUUUUUUAAACCAACACAUGCUUACUUUGUAGGACGGCUUUAAUAUCAUCUACUGAAAUAUUUUAUAUUCACGAAGUGAUUUGAGUGCCUCAGGAAAUCUGUUAAAAACGAAUAAACAAAGAACUAGCUAUUUCUUUAAUUUGUUCCGUGAUUGAGUGAAACUCUUCAUCGUGAUUGAGGGAUGAGUAUUAAACAGAGAUAAUCACAGAUGAAGACAUGUCACAAAUGUUAGCUUUUAUGUCCCUCUUUCACUGAUAAAAUCCAUGAGAAUCCUUCAUAGAACCUUCAAAUUCAUGAAAGCCGUGCCAAAAUACGGACGUGGGAUGCAUUCUUUCUAAGGAAUGGCCUUUAAAAAAAAUAUGGUGAUACCAAGAGUACAGUAAGUUUUUCUAAGCCAACAAGACAGAGGAUUUGGAAUAUAGAUGAUUAUCCUUUCAGAGAAAGAGAAAACAAGUAGCAAAGCUGUGUUUUAGCCAGUUUGCCUUGCUAGAAGGAAGGAGCUUGACCUUACACACAGAAGCAGCCCUGCAGAGACAUGUGCCACACAGCAAAGGAGUCUCGCCAAGGUACAGUUCAAAUGUGGCAUCUGAUCGUGAGGUCACUGAGAGACAGAGAAAGAUUGCAAGUAGGUAAGGCAAGAGAGAAGGCUCUUGAGUAAGAGAUCUCUGCAAGAAACCUGAAUGAAUGAAGAAGUGAACCAUGCAUAUAUGAGGGAAGACCAUUCCAGGCUGAGGGGACAGCAAGGACCAAUAUGCUGUGCUAGGCCCAUGCAUGGGGUAUCCUACAACCAUGUAAUAGGCUAAUGUAGCUCAGCUAAAGCGAAAAAGAAGAGUGAAUGAGAGGAAGAAACUAUGAUCUGUGGCAAAGAAUUCUGAUUUUACUCUGAUCAAGAUGGAAAGCCUCGCAGGAGUUCAAGGAGAAAAAUGAUAUUUCUGGAUGGGCCAGAAGUGCAAAGCAUUCAACUAUUAGAAUUAUGUUGCAAGCAAUACUAUAGAGGUUUGCCUUUCCAAUAUUGCUGUAUUUUGAUGAUCACCUUUGUACCUGAUAGCCAACAGCUCUUCACUUAUAGGUAAAUAUGCCUUAUGCUUGUUUCCCCAGAACUCUGACUUGGAUAGGGUCAGCCAUCCUUUUCCAUAGGCCUAAAUAAGUUUUAACACUGUGAAAGAAACAAUUAUUCAGUGACACUUGUUAAAGAUGGUAAGGGAGACUUUAUUCAAGAGGGACAUCACAAUGGUUGUAGGGACCACUGCAACAGCAUCUUGCAGUGAGUGCAAGAUUGGACUGAACUGAAAACAGCAGAGGCAAGUGAGAUAGCCAAGAAGAACAGGGGAGGAGUCAGUGGGUGGAAACUUAUAAAGGGGUAGCAGGAUUCUGUCUAAAGUGAUGUAACAGGAUUCUUGCUGGAGGCAUGCCAGAGUGAGCAAACAUCAGCUGGUGGACUAUGGAAGAUAAAGAACCCUGUUAUAUAUCCAGGGUGAUCAGACAUGGAUCAUGUGGGAUUCCAGCUGAACUAACUUAGCAGAAUUCUUGCUAAAAUUGGACAAUGCAGAGACACACAUGGAAGUCCAAAAGUCAAGGCCUGGUGGAGAAAUUCAAGGGAGCCUGAAUAGAGUUUGGUCAAGGACAGACUUUUUGUCAACACAAAUCAGAAAAGUCCAUUGGAUAUAAGUGGUGUGAACUCCAGAACCCAGUUUAUAU